UUGGAGGGCAAGUCUGGUGCCAGCAGCCGCGGUAAUUCCAGCUCCAAUAGCGUAUAUUAAAGUUGUUGCAGUUAAAAAGCUCGUAGUUGAAUUUCGGGAUCAAUAUGUUGGUCGUGCCUUUGGUACGUACUAGCUUAUUGAUUUCUCCCUUCUGACGAACCAUGAUGUCAUUAAUUUGGUGUCAUGGGGAAUCAGGACUGUUACUUUGAAAAAAUUAGAGUGUUUAAAGCAGGCUUACGCUUGAAUAUAUUAGCAUGGAAUAAUGAAAUAGGACGUUUUGAUUCUAUUUUGUUGGUUUCUAGGAUCGACGUAAUGAUUAAUAGGGAUAGUUGGGGGCAUUAGUAUUCAAUUGUCAGAGGUGAAAUUCUUGGAUUUAUUGAAGACUAACUACUGCGAAAGCAUUUGCCAAGGAUGUUUUCAUUAAUCAAGAACGAAAGUUAGGGGAUCGAAGACGAUCAGAUACCGUCGUAGUCUUAACCAUAAACUAUGCCGACUAGGGAUCGGAUGAUGUUAAUUUUUUAAUGACUCAUUCGGCGCCUUACGGGAAAC
rnacentral:rRNA from 1 species